GGGCCCGUGGUCUAGAUGGUUAUGACGCCACCCUUACAAGGUGGAGGUCCGGGGUUCGAAUCCCCGCGGGCCCACCA
rnacentral:tRNA from 27 species